rnacentral:rRNA from 1 species
CGUAGGGUGCGAGCGUUAAUCGGAAUUACUGGGCGUAAAGUGUGCGCAGGCGGCUCCGCAAGUCGAGUGUGAAAUCCCCGAGCUUAACUUGGGAAUUGCGCUCGAAACUACGGAACUGGAGUGUGGCAGAGGAAGGUGGAAUUCCACGUGUAGCGGUGAAAUGCGUAGAGAUGUGGAGGAACACCGAUGGCGAAGGCAGCCUUCUGGGCCAACACUGACGCUCAUGCACGAAAGCGUGGGGAGCAAACAGGAUUAGAUACCCUGGUAGUCCACGCCCUAAACGAUGAUGACUAGUUGUUGGAGGAGUUAAAUCCUUUAGUAACGCAGCUAACGCGUGAAGUCGUCCGCCUGGGGAGUACGGUCGCAAGAUUA